rnacentral:lncRNA from 1 species
CCCAAAACCCGGAUGUUUCCAACCUUGACACUAGUCACUCUAUCCCCAAAAUGGCCAAUCGAAUUGACGACCAUGUUUUCAGAUCAAAACUCCCUGAAAUUCCCAUCUCCAACCACCUCCCUCUCCACACCUACUGCUUUGAAAACUACUCCCAAUUCGCCGAUCGUCCAUGCUUGAUCGUCGGAUCCACCAACAAAACCUACUCCUUUGCAGAAACCCACCUCAUUUCUCGCAAAGUCGGAGCUGGGUUCGCCCACCUCGGCCUCAAACAGGGAGACGUCGUCAUGAUCCUCCUCCAGAACUGCGCCGAAUUCGCGUUCUCCUUUCUCGGAGCUUCCAUGGUCGG